rnacentral:misc_RNA from 1 species
GAUGUCUAUGUUUUCGCUCAACUACGCCAUUCUGUUGAGGGGUAUAAGGACAACAUUUUUUAUGAAUGAUGCCCCUGGACUGAAACAAUUGUAAACACUGAUGAUUCACAAACUCCCUCCCAUUAUCUGUCCUUACUAUUUUCACUUUGACAUUGAACUAGGUUUCCACAUAAUUGAGAAACAUGGAAAGAACAUAGCUACAUUGGUCUU